GAGAAAGGUUUACCACAGCUGCUCAAGGAAGAUGGACCCAGAAUAAGAAAUUUUCUACUUGGAUUUGGGGAAACAGUAAAUUCAUUCAGGAAGUGAUAAUAUUGUGUAUUAUACUUUGAUGAUGAUGAUGAUGAUGACGAAAACGACAACAAUGAUGAUUAUGAUGAAGGAAUUAACAAUGAGGAUUAUGAUGAGUAUGAUGAUUCCAUACUAUACUGGUGGUUAAAAACAGUGUUUAUGAACAGACACUUGAGGAUCAGGAAGAAGUCCUGGCCUUCUCCUGUGGUCCAUAUGUGCCACCAUCUAUGUUACCAGCAGUGGGGAUUAGAAUGCAAAGUGGUAUAUGAAGUGCCAGCUCUUUGAAAGGAAUGUGAGAUUAAGAACCUGGAGAAAAUAUUUUCUCCUCGUGUUGGGCAUCUAAAAGGAAGAGGCUCCCUCAUUCACAUGUGCUCCUCCUCGCACAAACGCUUGCACACAGUGAGUACUCGCCUGCGGCCAGGUGGCCUCAAGCCAGCAGGCCCCUCACUGCAAACUGAAGAAGCUGGUAGUGUCCUCAGAGCCAUGGUGGUAACAAAGCUCCUGGCCUGCUUUAUCAUCCUGUCAAGGGCUCACAGAGAUCCCCUGCUUCCUGAAAACGAGCAGCAAGGACCACAAUUUCACAGGACAGUGGUGACGAUACUGAGUAGAAGACAAAGUCAUAACAUCACUGUACAUUUGAAUGGAGGGGAUUUAGAAACCAUCCACCCAGUGCAUGAAUUCCUCUCUACAACAUCAGAGGUAAUGACCAUCUGUGUUUACGCCUGUUCUCUAGUGAUGUGA
rnacentral:lncRNA from 1 species